CAUCCUCCAAGGCUAAAUACUCCUGACUGACCGAUAGUGAACCAGUACCGUGAGGGAAAGGCGAAAAGAACCCCGGCGAGGGGAGUGAAAAAGAACCUGAAACCGUGUACGUACAAGCAGUGGGAGCACAGGUUUACCUGUGUGACUGCGUACCUUUUGUAUAAUGGGUCAGCGACUUAUAUUCUGUAGCAAGGUUAACCGUAUAGGGGAGCCGGAGGGAAACCGAGUCUUAACCGGGCGUUAAGUUGCAGGGUAUAGACCCGAAACCCGGUGAUCUAGCCAUGGGCAGGUUGAAGGUUGGGUAACACUAACUGGAGGACCGAACCGACUAAUGUUGAAAAAUUAGCGGAUGACCUGUGGCUGGGGGUGAAAGGCCAAUCAAACCGGGAGAUAGCUGGUUCUCCCCGAAAGCUAUUUAGGUAGCGCCUCGUGAAUUCAUCUCCGGGGGUAGAGCACUGUUUCGGCUAGGGGGCCAUCCCGGCUUACCAACCCGAUGCAAACUGCGAAUACCGGAGAAUGUUAUCACGGGAGACACACGGCGGGUGCUAACGUCCGUCGUGAAGAGGGAAACAACCCAGACCGCCAGCUAAGGUCCCAAAGUCAUGGUUAAGUGGGAAACGAUGUGGGAAGGCCCAGACAGCCAGGAUGUUGGCUUAGAAGCAGCCAUCAUUUAAAGAAAGCGUAAUAGCUCACUGGUCGAGUCGGCCUGCGCGGAAGAUGUAACGGGGCUAAACCAUGCACCGAAGCUGCGGCAGCGACGCUGAUGCGUUGUUGGGUAGGGGAGCGUUCUGUAAGCCUGUGAAGGUGGCCUGUGAGGGUUGCUGGAGGUAUCAGAAGUGCGAAUGCUGACAUAAGUAACGAUAAAGCGGGUGAAAAGCCCGCUCGCCGGAAGACCAAGGGUUCCUGUCCAACGUUAAUCGGGGCAGGGUGAGUCGACCCCUAAGGCGAGGCCGAAAGGCGUAGUCGAUGGGAAACGGGUUAAUAUUCCCGUACUUGGUGUUACUGCGAAGGGGGGACGGAGAAGGCUAUGUUGGCCGGGCGACGGUUGUCCCGGUUUAAGCGUGUAGGUGUGUGUUCCAGGUAAAUCCGGUUCACUUUAACACUGAGGCGUGAUGACGAGGCACUACGGUGCUGAAGCAACAAAUGCCCUGCUUCCAGGAAAAGCCUCUAAGCAUCAGGUAACAUCAAAUCGUACCCCAAACCGACACAGGUGGUCAGGUAGAGAAUACCAAGGCGCUUGAGAGAACUCGGGUGAAGGAACUAGGCAAAAUGGUGCCGUAACUUCGGGAGAAGGCACGCUGACACGUAGGUGAAGUGAUUUACUCAUGGAGCUGAAGUCAGUCGAAGAUACCAGCUGGCUGCAACUGUUUAUUAAAAACACAGCACUGUGCAAACACGAAAGUGGACGUAUACGGUGUGACGCCUGCCCGGUGCCGGAAGGUUAAUUGAUGGGG
rnacentral:rRNA from 1 species